UACGUAGGGUGCAAGCGUUGUCCGGAAUUAUUGGGCGUAAAGAGCUCGUAGGCGGUCUGUCGCGUCGGCUGUGAAAACUCGGGGCUCAACUCCGAGCCUGCAGUCGAUACGGGCAGACUAGAGUGCUGUAGGGGAGACUGGAAUUCCUGGUGUAGCGGUGAAAUGCGCAGAUAUCAGGAGGAACACCGGUGGCGAAGGCGGGUCUCUGGGCAUGUACUGACGCUGAGGAGCGAAAGUGUGGGGAGCGAACAGG
rnacentral:rRNA from 1 species